rnacentral:sRNA from 1 species
CCGCUUCCCUUCCGGGGAAGCGCAAGGCCAGACGGACAGCCGGGUCAGACGCCGA